UGCAAAAGUAAUCACAGUUUUU
rnacentral:miRNA from 1 species